rnacentral:pre_miRNA from 1 species
CAUAUACUCCCUCCGUCCGAAAAUACUUGUCCUACAAAUGAAUGUAUCUAGACUUAUUUUAGUUAUAGAUACAUCUAUUUUAUUCAUUUUUAGGACAAGUAAUUUUGGACGAAGGGAGUAUUUA